rnacentral:lncRNA from 1 species
AACAGCAGCAACCUUGGGAGGGUCCCAGGAAUCGUCCCCUCUCUAGAGGCUGGAGAGAACAGGGGUCUGAGGCCCAAUUGUCCUAAAGGCCACAGGAACAGAGGGCUCAGACAUCUACCUGCCUUGCUGAGCCCCUUUACUGACAAAGAUCCUGGUAUCUCCAUAGGGGGCUGAGGCUUCUAGUGGACAACGGGUGCUGCCAGCAGGCUAGCUGCUGACGCCGAACCUCUCCCAGAGUGAUCUGGAACCUGCCUUGGGAACCCUCAUUUAAAAAGGCCCUGCCACCCCGUGGGAAGACACGCAGACUGGCUCAGAGGUCUUGGACGUCCUAGUGAGGGCUCGAUGACAGCACCUAGGCUGGUCUUGAACCCCUGAACUCAUUAUCCUCCUGCUUUAACCUGCCAAUCACCAGGAAGACUGGCACUGUCUUCACCCUGCUCAGUUUUCCGCAUGACGUCAGUUAGCACACACUGCACACAACGCUAUCCCUUACCGGAGCCCGUCUCUCUAGAAUAAACCAGGGAGAGAGACAUAUCCACGCACAGACUCAAUGCUGGAAGGGCACCAGAAACCCGCAGGACACCCUACCAGGGGCUGGUAUGAAGGAGAGUAAUGGUAGACAUGUUCUAUCUACGCUUUUGUGUUUUCCAGGUGUCAAAAGGACAUGUUACCCUUCUGUAAGCGGGAGACGUCAUAAUCAAUGUCAUUUCAUUAAAAAAAAAAAAAAAAAAAUCGAACCUUC